rnacentral:lncRNA from 1 species
GUCGGAGACCUCUGCCGCAAACAUGCUCCGCCAGAUCAUCGGUCAGGCCAAGAAGCAUCCGAGCUUGAUCCCCCUCUUUGUAUUUAUUGGAACUGGAGCUACUGGAGCAACACUGUAUCUCUUGCGUCUGGCAUUGUUCAAUCCAGAUGUUUGUUGGGACAGAAAUAACCCAGAGCCCUGGAACAAACUGGGUCCCAAUGAUCAAUACAAGGUAAACUACAAAAUUGUUUUAAAGUUGUUAGAAAUUGUGUUGUAAUAAGUUUUGUCAUGGGGUGGGUUUUCUUGAAACUGGAUAUACGAGUAAAAUUCCAUUAUAUUGAACUUUAAAGAGCUGUUAGGUAGUUCUGUGAAAUGAAAAUGGUAUAUUGCUCUAAUAAAUAUUUUUUGCUAGGUAUUUAAUUGCUAGUAUAAGAAAAGAAGGAAAAAUAGUAUAG